GGCCAUCAACGGGGGCGGGGAGGAAAGUACUGAGACGGGCGUUUCUCCCGAGUCCGAGAGCCACCAAACCAAUACAAGAAAGUAUUACGGUUCCGUCCAGCUCUAAAGUUCACGGCUAAGAAAUCUCCAAAAGGAACGAAAGGAAAGUGAUAUAUUCCAAGCAGGGAUCCGGGAAAAGCUUUGGGGGGAUUUACGUCCCCAAGAGGGGCCGGGGACUUGAAACCCAGAUGCGCGCGUCCGCAGGAAUCCCGGGGUUCCCUGCAGCUAUCCUGUGUCCCAGACUGCCGCGCCCUGUUGACGUCGUCCGAAGUCCGGCGGUGGAGGUCCAGGGGGCCGGAGCAUUACGGGCGUUUGGGCUCCCGGAACGUCACCAAGACUACGCAGGGAGACUUGACUCAGCUCACGUGACGGGAGCAGGGCGGGCGCAGCGGCCUGACCGGCUUCUUCCUCUCGGCUACCCAUUGGGCUCCCUGAGGUCCCGGAAGUGGGGGCGCUUCCGUUCCUGUUUUACUGUCUCCUGGGUGAACUGGGCCGGGGCCAGCGGCUCAUUCGUUAAGAGCAGUCAAGUCUGAGGAAAUGGUGUGCAUUCCUUGUAUCGUCAUUCCUGUCCUCCUUUGGGUCUACAAAAAAUUCCUGGAGCCAUAUGUAUAUCAUCUAAUCUCACCCUUUGUCAGUCGUCUAUGGCCUAAAAAAAGUCUAAAAGAAAGUCCUGCUGAGAAACUAAGCAAAGGAGACUAUAAGAUUGCAGACACAAAUGGAAUCUCUACACCAGAACCAACAGAAAGCUGCAACAAAAAGAUAGAUUAAAGCAAUUUGUCCAAAGGAUAUCUUUGCUUUAAAAUAGAACUGAUGAUAUGCAGCAACAACUCUGAUAUUGUCUUUCACACUUUUCUCUGAGACCAGAUAUGGGGUAGAUAUUUUAGAGAUCUCCCUAAUAUACAUAGUAUUUCUAUUUAAAUGUUUAAAUUAUAUUUAAUUACCUCAUUCCUGUUCUUUUUCCUUACUGAAAUAGUUUUCAUCUCUAUUAUUGCAAAUAACCUAAAGUUUCUACUUUAGGCUAACUUGUUUUAACAAUAUAAAUAAAUAGAAAUUCACUUUAAUAA